GGGAUAUACAUGGAAAACCAUCAGACUGGAAACCAAGACAAAACUCCAGAAAUCACGCCUAUCAAUCUACAGUCAAUGCCACCGAGACAAAAACGUCAACUUCAAAUAGUGCAUUCAAUCCCGAACAACUAGAUCAACUUUACAAAAUAUUCUCCAGCUUCCAAACAUCUGGUUCAACAAGUUCAUUAGCCCACAGAGGUAAUUCCUUGAGAGCUCUUAAUACUUCUGCAUUCCUUUCCCAGGUGCCUUGGAUUAUUGACUUUGGCGCAUCCCAUCAUAUGACGGAUUCCCAAAAUUUGUUUCUCACAUACUCACAUUGUGCAGGCAACCUUAAGAUCAAAAUUGCGGAUGGCUCACUCUCUUCAAUAUCUGGAAAAGGGAGUAUUCACAUCUCUAAUUCAAUUACUCUAGACAACGUCCUCCAUGUCCCAAAACUGUCGUGUAACUUAUUAUCCAUUAGCCAGUUGACAAAAACCUCAAAUUGUUCUGAUAAUUUCUUUUCGUCUUAUUGUAUCUUUCAGGACCUAUUAUCAGGGAAGACGAUUGGCAGUGCAAAAGAAUGUGAAGGACUUUACUACUUUGACGAGACAGAUGUGAGUAAACAACAUCAAAUUGCUAGUUGUGAUUCUGCAUUUGUUCCUACGGAUAGUGAGACUCUUUU
rnacentral:lncRNA from 1 species